UCCAACAUUUAGAAUUAGAAUCUUUACUAAGAUCUACUUUCUACUAGAUCUAUAAUUUAUUACUCCAGAGUAAUACAGUGAUUGUAUCAGUAACUAUUCACUACUCUAAAGUGUUUGGUAAGGAUUCAAGUAGGGUUAUGGAUGGCUUGUAGAAGAUGGUUCAGUUUGCCUACAUGUGGUGGUGUUCCUACCCUAGAAAAAUGUCAUCAUUUUUUUACUCAACAUGUUCUAUAUUCAUCUGAUUCACAUCCAGCUUACAAUUAUGGAUUGGUUGGAAUAGGUAAAUCUAAAAGGAUAACCAAUGACAGCAGCUUACCUAACACACAAGGAGAAGUACUGUUUGGAUUUCACUCUAUUCACCUGGCUUUAAAAGCAAACAAAAGGAUGAAAUUUCAUGACAUUUUUGUAGACACAAAGCUCAUAGG